GACGGAGGAUGCAAGCGUUAUCCGGAAUGAUUGGGCGUAAAGCGUCCGCAGGUGGCAGUUCAAGUCUGCUGUCAAAGACCGGGGCUUAACUUCGGAAAGGCAGUGGAAACUGAACAGCUAGAGUAUGGUAGGGGCGGAGGGAAUUCCUGGUGUAGCGGUGAAAUGCGUAGAGAUCAGGAAGAACAUCGGUGGCGAAGGCGCUCUGCUGGACCAUAACUGACACUCAGGGACGAAAGCUAGGGGAGUGAAUGGG
rnacentral:rRNA from 1 species